rnacentral:lncRNA from 1 species
ACCCACUCGCCCACCUCGGCUGGGAGCAGUGUGUAUGUGUAGAACUGGCGGAGCUGGGCCACCAGUGGGUCGUCCGUGUACACCACAUACUCCACGAAGCUACGUGUCAGCACGAACCAGUCGGAGCCGCCGUCCACCACGAUGCCCACUGGGAUCUGCCGCUCGCCCAGGCGCCACAUGUGCGAGUCACACUCAUGGAAAAGACGGUCCAGACCCUGCUUCUUGAUGAACCUGGGGUUGUCCCGGCCAUGUGACUUGAGGAAGUUCUUGUCCCGGUUUUUGGAUAAGAAUGCCACUAG